CCAGGACCCUUCAGGGUCUUCACUGAUGCCUGCAUGAAGCUGCAGGGAGAGGACCCCAACCCGAGCGCGCCGAGUCCCAAUUAAGAAGUGAAAAAUGAUAAAAGGCGGCGGGCGCGCGCGCGCGUCCUGCUCGYGCGCGGGUGCCUCGUGACGUACCCCCUCCCCAGAUGAGUUAAUGUUUUAUUUUAGUGUUUUUUAUGCUCUUACCGGAGGCGUGGUCUGUUUUAAUUCUCUGAUUGAACAUAAUUAAUGCUAUUUUUAUGUUAACACAAUCUGUGUCACUGUUUUAUUUUAUAAAAAACGUUCUUAAAACAAACAAAAAUAUCAAACAUAUUUAAAUUACUUUAUCUAAAUGUGCUAGUCCAGCAAAUAUUUCAUGUAGAUUAAAUAUGUUCAGUUAAUUAGAGAGUAAUAUAAAGUAAUUGGAGUGACGUAACACUUCUUGUAAUUCUUCUUUCGGCCACCAGGGGGCGACAGAGCCACACUUCUUAUCUACACAAGGGGGCGCUAAUGACAGUCUAUAAAUACUAGAAGCUCACGUUCCAGCGGCCCUUUUCACUUCCUGCCUGGUCCGGUUCGGUUCUGGACUCGGUCCGCUUCGGUUCAUCAUGUUGAAGAGUUUUAAAUCUUCUCUACCUCCUGACAUCGGGACGUCCGGUGAUCAGAUGAGACACCUGUGUGGAGCAGGUGGAGGAUGAUGGGUGUGUUGAGCUUCAGUCCAGAUGUUUGUUCUGCAGCAGCUAAAGGAGUUUGAAGCAGGCGAUUCAAACUGCAGGAAGGCUGAAUCGUGCAGAGCUGUCAUGGUGACACCUGUCCAGAGAAUCCAGCAGCUGAGACAGACUGUUGAAUACAGAUGGAGAACGAUCUGCCACCGGAUCUCAUCUGUUCAGCACCAGAAUCAGCUGAAUGGUUCAAGUUUGACUCUUUAAUGUAGAGAAGAUGUGAAAAAAUGGAUAUUUUAAGAGCCUGAUGGGAUUUGUGGCUUCAUACAAACUGUUUAGUUGGAAAAAUGUUUAAGAUGUUUCUCAGACAAUAAGGUUGCAGAACUGASUUAAGCAAAUAAAUUAUUUAAAAUAUUUAUUUUUCUCUAUUCAUGUCAUUUAAAAAUAUGUGCAUUGUGUGAAACUCAUCAUUCCAGUUGUCAGUUGUGUUUUUAUUUUUUUUUUUUUGUCAUCUUGAUGUGAAAUGUGUUGAUAAAACAGUAAAAACAGCAAAACCUUUGUGGUUUUGUGCAGUUUGUCAAGUCUUACCUGCAGUUCAUAUAAUCAAGUUAAACGUAAUGUAGAAAAGAUUUGAUGUUUCCUGUCUCCUACCUGCUCUGAGCUGGGGGACGUAUCAGCCUGUUUUGUUUUUGACUGUACAGCACCUUGUGAAUCUAUUUCUGUGAUUCUACUCUACACUUUAUAAAUUAAACAUUACUAACUUAAUGUUGCAAA